GUUGACUUCACUUAUAAUUAGUAUUAGUUCUAUUAAUAGCAUUCCCGUGUACAGAUUUGGGGUGUUUGCAUAGGAACUCAAAUAUAAAGACAAUUCCAAAACACGAGGGUAAUCUAAUCUAAAACAGCACUCUCUGUCACUGAAACAAUCAGAGGUUUAAAGAUGAAACAUUAAAAUGCAGGAAGCACGAGCGUGGGUUUUAGACGCGGCUGGAAAAGCCUUUGAUAAAAAAGUCACGAUUUUGCUGGAAUUGAGCCACCCGGCUGUGACGUCAGUCUCGGAGACGUAAGUCAGCGCGAGCGUGCAGAAGAAGGGCUCGAGCAAAUGAAGCAGCAAGCCUGGCAUGCACUAUAAUAAUCACGAGUGUACUGUGCCGCGAGCCUCCGAGGAACGCUGCUCACCUGUAACGGGAAGGACGCGGAUUUAUUUCCCACGUAUCCUCUCACGACGUGACUCUGGAUCGACAGAACUCGGCACUCCAUGUCGCGCGCAGUUAAAGCGCUUUUAGACGCUCCAGAAUGUCACGCGAUUGAGGGGCAGCGGCGAACCGGAGAGGCGCUUCUCUUCCCCUUUUCACAUCCAAAUUGGGAUCCGUGAUGGCAAGUUCUCUAGGCAACCAGAGAAAUGAAGGACAUUCACACCGGAGACGCUUAUUGGCGGCGAGCGCAUCUACUCAGGCAUCCUGAGGGGGCACCUAAAGUCCACUGAGUGACAUCACGACGGCGUUCGAAACCGUGGCUAUAUUUACCAUGCAUUCAGGUAGAGAAGAAUGGGCUGAUCAAA